UACGAGGGGUGCAAGCGUUGCUCGGAAUUACUGGGCGUAAAGGGCGCGUAGGCGGCCUUCUAAGUCGAACGUGAAAUCCCCGGGCUCAACCCGGGAACUGCGUCCGAUACUGGAAGGCUUGAAUCCGGGAGAGGGAUGCGGAAUUCCAGGUGUAGCGGUGAAAUGCGUAGAUAUCGGAGGAACACCGGUGGCGAAGGCGUCGAGUCCUGGACCGGCAUUGACGCUGAGGCGCGAAAGCC
rnacentral:rRNA from 1 species